GAUGAACGCUAGCGGCAGGCCUAACACAUGCAAGUCGAGGGGUAACAUAGAAAAGCUUGCUUUUCUGAUGACGACCGGCGCACGGGUGCGUAACGCGUAUACAACCUACCUUUUAGCGGGGAAUAGCCCAGGGAAACUUGGAUUAAUGCCUCAUAGUAUAUAAGCUUCUCCUGAAGUUUAUAUUAAACAUUUAUGGCUAUUAGAUGGGUAUGCGUCCUAUUAGUUAGUUGGUAAGGUAACGGCUUACCAAGGCAGCGAUAGGUAGGGGUCCUGAGAGGGAGAUCCCCACACUGGUACUGAGACACGGACCAGACUCCUACGGGAGGCAGCAGUGAGGAAUAUUGGACAAUGGGCGAGAGCCUGAUCCAGCCAUGCCGCGUGCAGGAAGACUGCCCUAUGGGUUGUAAACUGUCUUUUACAGAGGAAGAACCACCCCACGUGUGGGGGUUUGACGGUACUCUGCGAAUAAGGAUCGGCUAACUCCGUG
rnacentral:rRNA from 1 species